GAAAUGCGAUAAUUAAUGUGAAUUGCAGAAUUCAGUGAAUCAUCGAGUCUUUGAACGCACAUUGCGCCCCCUGGUAUUCCGGGGGGCAUGCCUGUCCGAGCGUCAUUGCUGCCCUCAAGCACGGCUUGUGUGUUGGGCUUCCGACCCUGGCAACGGGGACGGGCCCAAAAGGCAGUGGCGGCACCAUGUCUGGUCCUCGAGCGUAUGGGGCUUUGUCACCCGCUCCCGUAGGUCCAGCUGGCAGCUAGCCUCGCAACCAAUCUUUUUAACCAGGUUGACCUCGGAUCAGGUAGGGAUACCCGCUGAACUUAAGC
rnacentral:misc_RNA from 1 species